GCUCUGAAUACUGGAUAUGUGACGUGACCGCAUGGUCUGCGUCUGGAAAGAAUUUCGGUUGGGGAUGGGCUCGCGGCCUAUCAGCUUGUUGGUGAGGUAAUGGCUCACCAAGGCGUCGACGGGUAGCCGGCCUGAGAGGGUGACCGGCCACACUGGGACUGAGACACGGCCCAGACUCCUACGGGAGGCAGCAGUGGGGAAUAUUGCACAAUGGGCGCAAGCCUGAUGCAGCAACGCCGCGUGAGGGACGACGGCCUUCGGGUUGUAAACCUCUUUUAGCAGGGAAGAAGCGAAAGUGACGGUACCUGCAGAAAAAGCGCCGGCUAACUACGUGCCAGCAGCCGCGGUAAUACGUAGGGCGCAAGCGUUAUCCGGAAUUAUUGGGCGUAAAGAGCUCGUAGGCGGUUUGUCGCGUCUGCUGUGAAAUCCGGAGGCUCAACCUCCGGCCUGCAGUGGGUACGGGCAGACUAGAGUGCGGUAGGGGAGAUUGGAAUUCCUGGUGUAGCGGUGGAAUGCGCAGAUAUCAGGAGGAACACCGAUGGCGAAGGCAGAUCUCUGGGCCGUAACUGACGCUGAGGAGC
rnacentral:rRNA from 1 species